AGGUUACUGCUAUCGGUGUUCGCCUAAGCCAUGCGGGUCAUAUGUUCUUCGUGAACAUGGCGUACUGCUCAGUAACACGUGGAUAACCUGCCCUUGGGUCCGGCAUAACCCCGGGAAACUGGGGAUAAUUCCGGAUAACGCACAUGUGCUGGAAUGCUUUAUGCGUCAAAUGGAUUCGUCCGCCCAAGGAUGGGUCUGCGGCCUAUCAGGUAGUAGUGGGUGUAAUGUACCUACUAGCCUACGACGGGUACGGGUUGUGAGAGCAAGAGCCCGGAGAUGGAUUCUGAGACAUGAAUCCAGGCCCUACGGGGCGCAGCAGGCGCGAAAACUUUACAAUGCGGGAAACCGUGAUAAGGGGACACCGAGUGCCAGCAUCAUAUGCUGGCUGUCCGGGUGUGUAAAAUACACCUGUUAGCAAGGGCCGGGCAAGACCGGUGCCAGCCGCCGCGGUAACACCGGCGGCCCGAGUGGUGAUCUUGAUUAUUGGGUCUAAAGGGUCCGUAGCCGGUUUGGUCAGUCCUCCGGGAAAUCUGACGGCUUAACCGUUAGGCUUUCGGGGGAUACUGCCCGACUUGGAACCGGGAGAGGUAAGAAGUACUACACGGGUAGGAGUGAUAUCUUGUCAUCCCUGUGGGACCACCUGUGGCGAAGGCGUCUUACCACAACAGGUUCGACGGCGGAGGGACGACAGCUGGGGGGAACAACCCUUAUUAAAUACCCGCGUAGUCCCCCCCGUGAACGAUGCUCGCUAUUUGUCAUCUUGCCCCGACCUAUGUCUGCGCCGGCGGGAA
rnacentral:rRNA from 1 species